CACGUAGGGUGCGAGCGUUGUCCGGAAUUAUUGGGCGUAAAGAGCUCGUAGGCGGUGUGUCGCGUCGGCCGUGAAAACCUGCAGCUUAACUGUGGGCUUGCGGUCGAUACGGGCAUCACUGGAGUUCGGCAGGGGAGACUGGAAUUCCUGGUGUAGCGGUGAAAUGCGCAGAUAUCAGGAGGAACACCGGUGGCGAAGGCGGGUCUCUGGGCCGAUACUGACGCUGAGGAGCGAAAGCGUGGUGAGCGAACAGG
rnacentral:rRNA from 1 species